rnacentral:lncRNA from 1 species
GCGGCGCUCCGUGCUCUGGGCGAGGUGGGGGCGGCUGGUCCCCGCAUAACGCCCUUGGGGGAUGGGUGCUUCAGCGAGCCAGGUCCUGGGACCCGCGAGAUCCAGAGAAGGUGUCCGUCGGUGUCCCAGCGAAUCCUUGGGGACCCAGGACGCCGGGCUCGGCGCUCGCUCCUGCGGCCACGCGGCCGCUGCGUGGCUCGCGGGGGCGGCGCCCAGGGUGUGGCAAGUAUUUUUUUUUGUUAAGAUUUGAUUUAUUUAUUUAUGAUAGUCACAGAGAGAGAGAGAGAGAGAGAGAGAGGCAGAGACACAGGCAGAGGGAGAAGCAGGCUCCAUGCAGGGAGCCCGACGUGGGACUCGAUCCGGGGACCCUGGGGUCACGCCCCGGGCUGAAGGCGGCGCUAAACCGCUGAGUCCCCCAGGGAUUCCCCAAUGUGACAAUUCCACCAGGCCUCCGAAUUGCUUUGCUUCCUUUUAUGCCAUUCAUUCAUUCAUUCAUUCAUUCAUUCCCGAAACGCUUAUGGGGCUCCAGCUGCAAUUCAACACGACUGGGCGCUGGGGAUUGAAAGUCAAACAGGAAACUGCUCUUCUUGGAGUCUGUUCUCUGGGGUCUGUUCUCUCUCUCUCUUUUUUUUUUAAAUAAAAAAUAAUAAUUUGUUGUCAACAAAGGAGAGGUCUACAAAAGGAAAAUAAGUGAAAAGGAGGGAGUGAAAAAAUCCCCGGUGGUCUGCUUGGGCCUCCUGCAGGGAUGGAGCGGGAAGAGGUAAUGGAGAUGGAGGCCUCCUGGUUUAGGAGCCUGAACAGGUGGGGGAGGAGAGGCGUCCCCCGAGGCAGUGGGACUCAGUUCAAACCCCAUCGUGACCACCUCUGGUGUAAGGCACUGUGCCAAGGGAGAAUGGUCGGGGCUACGAGAUGGGAAGGAAGGGGGACGGAGAGGUCUGGGUCAGCAAAAGGAUUGGGGUAGGUGUUCUCCACAGGCCCAAUGCCCUGCCGGUCGACAGCCAUGAGGCCAGCCUUGCCCUUCCCAGGGCCUGGCCUUGUGCUUUGCCAGGGGUCAACAUCUUCCAGUGCCCCCAAGUAACAGUGGAUGCUGCCCCCCAUCCUCUCCUCCAUCCUGCCUUGGCACCUGGUUUUACUCUCUCCAUCAGGUGGCCAAGCUGGGCAGCUCUGAGUGAUAAGCCAAAGGGGGACCUUGCCUCCUCCCUCCCUUCCUCCCUCCUUCCCUCCCCAGGAGAGAGGUCUUGGUUGUAAGCCUGUCUUGGGUAUUGUGCUAGGACAGCGUAGCCGACUGUAAGCUCCGCGAGGACAAGGUCCACGUCGGUUUUGCCCUCGAGCAUAACGACUUUUCAGCUUCUGCUCUGUGUGCACUCUUAUUUUCUUGGAGAAAAUUUCUCCUGUUUGGAUUCCUGAAGCUAAUACGGGUGCAUCCCCAAGCCUUGGUCUUUCUUUGCUGUAAUUCUAACUCAGGAAGAAGCUCAUAACCUUCGUAGCAUCUUCAACUACUUACUUCUUUCCAUUAAUCAUUAGUUUAUUACACAGUUCUGGAGAAUCUACACGUCCCAGCUCCUGUGUCAAAUAUUGGGAAUGAAAACAUGAGCAUGAUGCGAGACCUGCUUUUUAAGGAACUUUCUGUCAAGACUGGGAGAUGUACAAGGUCGUGUAAUAAUAACAUCCUUUGCUGUCCAAUCCCACUGCCCGGUACUUUGGGUACAUUAUUUCACUUCAUCUUUUCAAACAGUUCUCUGAAAUAGGUCUUAUCAUUGUACCCAUUUUACAGAUGAGAAGGCUGAAGGACAAGAAUGUUCUAAUAUCUUGCUCAAGAUCACACAGUAAAUGACAGCUGCAUCUUGAACCCCGGUCUUAUUCCAAAGAUUGUAGCCUUUUAAGAAAAGGUACCAUGAUGAUUAGCACAACAGCUAAUAUUUGAGGAAAUGGGGGCACAUUUUCAAAACAAAGUGUUUGAGUGGAAUCUUUAAAGGACAAACAAAAAUUACCCAGGGGAAACUUGGGAAUUCGAAGGAAACUAUACUCACAAAGACAAAAGUAUAAAGAUGUUUAAGGGAGAAAAAGAAACUUGGUAGAGCUGAGGAGUGAGUAGGAAAGGUAAAUAGGGCCUUGCUAUGAAAGGCCUAACAUUAGUUAUGCCAAGGGGCAGUGGUGGCCACUGAGGAACCAGAGGAACCAUUUUGCAUUUUCUCCUCCUCUCCAGGCAGUGAGAAUUCCUGGAGAUCACACAGUAAGGUAGGUAGGAGACAUUAAUGGGCUUCACAUUUAGCUCUUGCUCUCUUAGCUAUAGCACUCUUCUAGAAUUUCCUGGAAUCUCUCCCAUUCUCCAUAAAAGAUCUUCAACUCUUCUGAAUUCUUCUCAGGCCUGUUUCCUCCAGCACCUCCCCAGGUCCCUCUCAGAAGAUCUUAUGUCAUACUUUGCAAAAAAAAAAAAAAAAAAAAAAA